GCCGGGCCCGCCGUCAGCACGUCACGUCACUGCCCGAGAGAGACCCAGGAAAAGGCGGAAGGGAGCGCGCUGCGGCCGCUGCUCGCUGCCUCGGGCCAGCCGCCCGCCGGGGCCGGGGCCGUCGGACGGGGGCCGCUGCCGGCCGAGGCGAGCCGGCGCGGAAAAGAAUUGCUGUUCGUCCAUGAAAGAUGCAUCGUAAAGUUUCUGAGGCAUCAGAAAUCACGUACCAUGAGUAAGUGACCUCAUGGGCAUGAGGAGGUACAUUCAGUUUGGUUGGAGUUCUUGCGUAAUUGUGGGGUCAGGGCUCGAGGAGGCUGCUUCGCCUCCUGUUAUUGCCAUUUAAGCAAACUGGAAGGAAAUUGGCUGUUGCACUUAUCAAAUGAUGCAAAUGUGACUUAUCUGGCCCAGAACAGCAUACGUGCAGUGUUUAUGUUGCGAAUGAGCCUUUGGGUUCAGCCUUGACUCAGCUUUAAUUUUAGGCACUGGACUUCUCUAUCUUAACACGCAGGCU